GCUGAGUUAUUAUGGGCCUUCAAAUUUAAUAAUUCAUACAAUAAUUAAGGAACAAAAAUAAAUAGGGUGUGCAAAGGAAAAAAACCGUGUGCGAAAUCACUUUCCGCGAAGUUAAAUCAACACUCAAUACACUCCUCAUGAGCUCUUUACUCUUCCUAGUCCUAUCCUCUUGACAGCCCUGCCCUAAAACCAUUCAAUCAGCCGCGACUGCAGACAUACGGCCAUGUGAAGGUCUUCAGGCUCUCAAUUUUCCGGAAGAUUUCACAAAGACGUGCUCUUCACCGUUGCGUAACGUCAAGGAACUGGAGGUAAGGAUUCUUUCUCCGUCGGGUGCUAGAGACUCCGACUUAAGAGACUCCUUGGUUUGGAUGGCACCUUCUGCGAGCAUUCCACCAGUGAAGUACUCUCGAGAUAUCUCGCCAACGUAAAACAAUGCUUUCGGGGUUAAAAAGACAGCCAGAACUGUUUUCCCUUGGUAAUGGAUUCGUGAAAAGCCCAUUGGAGAAGCUUCGUCAACUAGAAGAAGCUAAAAAUAGUUCUAUCGAUUUGCAUAUUUGCGUAUAUUUUCUCUGUUGAUGGCUGUGAUUCUGCGACGUGUAUUGAAGGGAAAUUUUGUUAAUUAAUUGGAUCCUGGAAUUUCCAUGUUUCUGUAUAUUUCGAAAUAUGAGUGUGUGACUUGGUAAGUUUCA